GCAGCGGUAUCGAAGUGGUCAUAACGGGGCUGACUCGAAAUCAGUUUGAGAGAGAUCUCACGAGGGUUCGAAUCCCUCCCGCUGCGCCA
rnacentral:tRNA from 1 species